CUUCUUCAAUCUGUUGCGGGCAAAUGAAAUGGAUAUGUGUAUCAAUGCCGCCAGCGGUCACGAUCAUGCCUUCGCCGGCAAUGACUUCAGUGGCGGCGCCAAUGGCAAUGGUGACGCCAGGCUGGAUAUCGGGAUUACCCGCCUUGCCAAUCGCGGCGAUACGGCCGGCUUUGAUGGCAAUAUCGGCCUUGAUGAUGCCGGUGUAGUCCACAAUCAGGGCAUUGGUGAUCACCGUGUCGGCUACCUCGGCCGCGACACGCUGGCCCUGGCCCAUGCCAUCGCGUAU
rnacentral:sRNA from 1 species